rnacentral:rRNA from 1 species
AUUGAACGCUGGCGGCAUGCUUUACACAUGCAAGUCGAACGGCAGCACGAGUGCUUGCACUUGGUGGCGAGUGGCGGACGGGUGAGUAAUACAUCGGAACGUAUCCUUAAGUGGGGGAUAACGCAUCGAAAGAUGUGCUAAUACCGCAUAUUCUCUGUGGAGGAAGGUAGGGGAUCGAAAGACCUUAUGCUUAUGGAGCGGCCGAUGCCUGAUUAGCUUGUUGGUGGGGUAAUGGCCUACCAAGGCGACGAUCAGUAGUUGGUCUGAGAGGACGACCAGCCACACUGGGACUGAGACACGGCCCAGACUCCUACGGGAGGCAGCAGUGGGGGAAUUUUGGACAAUGGGCGAAAGACCUGAUCCAGCAAUGCCGCGUGAGUGAAGAAGGACC